GUCCACACUGCAGGCUUUGCCCACAGAGUCCAUACUGUAGGCUCUGAACCUCCACUGUGGAACCACAUGGGGAGCCACAGGGACCAGUCCCACGGAAAAGCCAGGACAUGCUCCAAAAGAUGGCCCAAGGAGUAGAGACGGAGUUUCAACCAUGUUAGCCAAGAUGUUCUCGAUCUCCUGACCUCGUGAUCCUCCCGCCUCGGCCUCUCAAAGUGCUGGGAUUACAGGUCUUCUUCCUGCAAACUUUCUGCACUCC
rnacentral:lncRNA from 1 species